UCUUUUUGUGGGGGACACUGCCUGCCCGGCUAAACUGGCUUCCUGCAUGGCUGCAGUAAGAGGACAAGGAUCAGGAUGCUUUCCAGAAGGAGGUCUCUCCUGCCCCACAGUCCCAGGCGGUGCUCGCACCUGAAGGCACCCGAGCUGCCAGUUGACUUGAGGCUGUCCAGGCGCCGCAGCUUGGCUAGCUUGUGGCUCCAGCGCUCCAGCUCAUCAAUCCGGGUCUCCAGGUUGUCCGUCAGCUUGCAUAACUCCUUCACAGCCCCCACAUUCUCCAUGAAGAUCCGCUCCUGCCCCGGGGCAACAACAGCCUUGAGGGCGCCAUCAGCCCAAGAAGCUUCCAAGCUGCAGUCUGAAUCCAGGCAGGAGCAGAAUCCCCAUUCUCCACAGCCAACAGAGGCCCUAGAAAUAUUCUUGCCUGACGGCGCCCUCUGCUCUAGCCAAAUUCUGGUUCACACAGCAUGUCUGCUGCCCCUAGCCUAGGCUAAGUGUCUACCUACCCAGCCUUGCCUCCUCCCUCAAGUCAGAGCUCCAUCCCUUGGACCUACUCUCUCAGCUUCAGAUAGAAGCAGUCCAGGGGCUUGAGGCCUUCCGGCGUCUUGACGUACUUGGGCUCACCCAGCAUGCCGAUGUACACGGUCACCUGGAAGUGGUUCUUCUUCUGGCACACAAAAGCAUCGUCACCCACGGAAAAGUUGAAGCCCUUGUCAGCGUCCACACGAUAGGCUCACACUCCAGUCCCAUUACUUAUGCUGUAUCCCCCAAGAUCCCCAAACCUCAAGGGGUCAAUCUCUAUUCCAAGCAUGGAAACUAAGCCUAGAAGAGGAGCUGCACAGGUUUUUCAUUAUGCGCCUGGGGCCUAUUGUUCUGUGCUGGGAGGAAGGACGCAAGAUAAGACUCCGAAGGCCCACCAGAACUGAGGGGACUCCAGAGGAGAGCCUUUGCCAUUCUUCAGUACCCUUAACCACUUCCCACACACUCCUUGAAGCCCCCUCCCUUGUGGGAGAUGGGAUAAGAGGAUCUGCAUCUGUAUAGUCUCACUGUGCCUGACAGCUGGUUACCAUGGAAACGGUGGAACCAGGAGCCAGCUCUGCCUUGGGCCCACCCUGACCCAACCUGGCCCACCUCCUUGCUCAAGCCCCCCCACCCAGUGCUCUCAUUCUGACUCCCCCAACUGCCCCAGAGACAGGGGAGUACUUCUGGUUUCUGACCUCCCCCUCAGGAACAGCUGAAGCUUGCCAUCUGUCACUGAGAUAGUGUCUGGAGCCUUUAGGGCACCUCCAGGGCAAUAAAGAAAGCACUUGUUAACUUAC